rnacentral:rRNA from 1 species
AGUGAACGCUGGCGGUAGGCCUAACACAUGCAAGUCGAACGGCAGCACAGUAAGAGCUUGCUCUUACGGGUGGCGAGUGGCGGACGGGUGAGGAAUACAUCGGAAUCUACUUUUUCGUGGGGGAUAACGUAGGGAAACUUACGCUAAUACCGCAUACGACCUACGGGUGAAAGCAGGGGAUCUUCGGACCUUGCUCGAUUGAAUGAGCCGAUGUCGGAUUAGCUAGUUGGCGGGGUAAAGGCCCACCAAGGCGACGAUCCGUAGCUGGUCUGAGAGGAUGAUCAGCCACACUGGAACUGAGACACGGUCCAGACUCCUACGAGAGGCAGCAGUGGGGAAUAUUGGACAAUGGGCGCAAGCCUGAUCCAGCCAUACCGCGUGGGUGAAGAAGGCCUUCGGGUUGUAAAGCCCUUUUGUUGGGAAAGAAAAGCAGCAGGUUAAUACCCCGCUGUUCUGACGGUACCCAAAGAAUAAGCACCGGCUAACUUCGUG